GCAAACAAAGGGAUAAUGAAAAAACAAAACAGAAACAAACAGGUCAGUUGAUAAAAAUAAGGCAAAUAACUGGGACCCAGAAUUCAUCCGUCUGGGAUUUAUAGAUGAACCACAAGUCUACAUUCUAUCCUAAAUCUCCUGUUAAUGUCUUCAGGUCUAUAGCUUUCUAACUAAUAGAAUUCCAAGCCAACACCCUGCACAACCUGAGUCUUCU
rnacentral:misc_RNA from 1 species